rnacentral:rRNA from 1 species
UGUCUCAAAGAUUAAGCCAUGCAUGUCUAAGUAUAAGCAACUUGUACUGUGAAACUGCGAAUGGCUCAUUAAAUCAGUUAUCGUUUAUUUGAUAGUACCUUACUACAUGGAUACCUGUGGUAAUUCUAGAGCUAAUACAUGCUAAAAACCCCGACUUCAGGAAGGGGUGUAUUUAUUAGAUAAAAAACCAACGCCCUUCGGGGCUCCUUGGUGAAUCAUAAUAACUUAACGAAUCGCAUGGCCUUGGGCCGGCGAUGGUUCAUUCAAAUUUCUGCCCUAUCAACUUUCGAUGGUAGGAUAGUGGCCUACCAUGGUGGCAACGGGUAACGGGGAAUUAGGGUUCGAUUCCGGAGAGGGAGCCUGAGAAACGGCUACCACAUCCAAGGAAGGCAGCAGGCGCGCAAAUUACCCAAUCCCGAUACGGGGAGGUAGUGACAAUAAAUACUGAUACGGGGCUCUUUUGGGUCUCGUAAUUGGAAUGAGAACAAUUUAAAUCCCUUAACGAGGAACAAUUGGAGGG